AGGCCUGGGCACCCCGGCAGUGGGGUGCCAGGGCGCCCCCAAUGGGACCCCACAGCCCUCACUGCCCGCAGGGAGUUGUGUGUGAUGCUUUGUUUCCUUAAUUGAAUUAGUGUUUUGGUGCACUUCACAUUUACAGUAAGUUUUAUAAUAGAUUUUAUAAUUACCAGCUUUCAAAAAUCACUUUAUUUAUAAUUU